rnacentral:lncRNA from 1 species
GAAAAACCAAAACCCUUUCAGGAGGAGAAAGUGGGUGUUGUGAGCCUGGGUGUGUACAAAGGAAGAGGUGAUUUUUUUUUCAAUAAAAAUAGUUCAGUGUGGACAGAACUGAUUUAAGAACUUGUAUGGCUGGAGGGAAGGCCUGGUAUGGAAGUCUCCAUGAGAUAUUUGCCCUUGUUUGCUAACAUUAUUAUUAUUUUUAUUUUGUCUAGGAUCUUCUAGCUUUAAACACACCCACCACUUGGAGGGAAGCAAAAAUUCCAAAGAACACAGUUUGGGAAACACUGACCAGUAAGAAAGUCUCCAGUUUUGUGCCAGGAGCCUGUGAAGAGUCCCUCAUCCUAGCUACCUGGAAGCCGGUAUUCUGCUAGCAUCCUUCAGAUGAAGAUGUAGAACACUCAGCUCCUCCUGCAUCAUGCCUGCCUGGAUGCUGCCAUGUUCCCGCCUUGAUGAUACUGGAUUGAACCUCUGAACCUGUAUCUUCUCCACUUCCUUCCUUGUCCCCUCAAAGAUCUUGACUAACAUCAAGGCAACACCUUCUUUGUAGAUGGAAGAGGUAAGAUCCAUGUUUAUUCUGCCCCUUCCCAUGGCAUAGCCACAGGCAACAGAUACCUUAGCUCCUGCCAUAGGCAGGGAACAUGGGCUUGAGCUAUGUUUGGAAGGGGCAGGAUCUGGGGGACCCCCACUUAAUGCUGUAGGUGAUAAAGUGCUUGGAAGAGAUGGUGAAUGUCUGUUGACCAUGCACGCAAAUCUGAGUUGUAACAUGUUACUUUUAGCUGUGUUGAUCUUGAGAAAACUACUCUCUGUGCUUCCGUGUCUCAAAGAAGUCAUCUCUGGUUGCAAGGGCCAAUAUGGCAGAUGCCAUUUACCUGUGGCCAGAGCGCUCAGAACAUGAGACCAGAUUUUAGUUUAAUUUUAAUUAACAUUUAAAUUCAAAUUGCUGUGACUAAUGGCUGUGAUAUAGAAUCCACCACUAGAGGACAGCACUGGGUGGCUUCAACCCACAUACAUACACAACCUUCCCCCCCCCC